GACGAACGCUGGCGGCGUGCUUAACACAUGCAAGUCGAACGGAAAGGCCCUGCUUUUGUGGGGUGCUCGAGUGGCGAACGGGUGAGUAACACGUGAGUAACCUGCCCUUGACUUUGGGAUAACUUCAGGAAACUGGGGCUAAUACCGGAUAGGAGCUCCUGCUGCAUGGUGGGGGUUGGAAAGUUUCGGCGGUUGGGGAUGGACUCGCGGCUUAUCAGCUUGUUGGUGGGGUAGUGGCUUACCAAGGCUUUGACGGGUAGCCGGCCUGAGAGGGUGGCCGGCCACAUUGGGACUGAGAUACGGCCCAGACUCCUACGGGAGGCAGCAGUGGGGAAUAUUGCACAAUGGGCGGAAGCCUGAUGCAGCAACGCCGCGUGCGGGAUGACGGCCUUCGGGUUGUAAACCGCUUUCGCCUGUGACGAAGCGUGAGUGACAGUAAUGGGUAAAGAAGCACCGGCUAGCUACGUGCCAGCAGCCGCGGUGAUACGUAGGGUGCGAGCGUUGUCCGGAUUUAUUGGGCGUAAAGGGCUCGUAGGUGGUUGAUCGCGUCGGAAGUGUAAUCUUGGGGCUUAACCCUGAGCGUGCUUUCGAUACGGGUUGACUUGAGGAAGGUAGGGGAGAAUGGAAUUCCUGGUGGAGCGGUGGAAUGCGCAGAUAUCAGGAGGAACACCAGUGGCGAAGGCGGUUCUCUGGGCCUUUCCUGACGCUGAGGAGCGAAAGCGUGGGGAGCGAACAGGCUUAGAUACCCUGGUAGUCCACGCUGUAAACGGUGGGUACUAGGUGUGGGGUCCAUUCCACGGGUUCCGUGCCGUAGCUAACGCUUUAAGUACCCCGCCUGGGGAGUACGGCCGCAAGGCUAAAACUCAAAGGAAUUGACGGGGCCCCGCACAAGCGGCGGAGCAUGCGGAUUAAUUCGAUGCAACGCGUAGAACCUUACCUGGGUUUGACAUGGAUCGGGAGUGCUCAGAGAUGGGUGUGCCUCUUUUGGGGUCGGUUCACAGGUGGUGCAUGCCUGUCGUCAGCUCGUGUCGUGAGAUGUUGGGUUAAGUCCCGCAACGAGCGCAACCCUUGUUCACUGUUGCCAGCACGUUAUGGUGGGGACUCAGUGGAGACCGCCGGGGUCAACUCGGAGGAAGGUGGGGAUGACGUCAAGUCAUCAUGCCCCUUAUGUCCAGGGCUUCACGCAUGCUACAAUGGCUGGUACAGAGAGUGGCGAGCCUGUGAGGGUGAGCGAAUCUCGGAAAGCCGGUCUCAGUUCGGAUUGGGGUCUGCAACUCGACCUCAUGAAGUCGGAGUCGCUAGUAAUCGCAGAUCAGCAACGCUGCGGUGAAUACGCUCCCGGG
rnacentral:rRNA from 1 species